rnacentral:lncRNA from 1 species
NNNNNNNNNNNNNNNNNNNNNNNNNNNNNNNNNNNNNNNNNNNGCAGGAUGUAGGGUGCAGGGGUGCAGAGCUGCAGUGAUGCAGGGUGUAGGAUACAGGUGCAGUGAUGCGGGGGUGCAGGACGUAGGGUGCAGUGAUGCAGUGAUACAGGGUUCAGGGCUGCAGGAUAAAGGUGCAGGGCUGCAGGGCUGCAGGGCUGCAGGAUGUAGGGUGCAGGGGCGCAGUGAUGCAGGGUGUAGGAUACAGGUGCAGGGGUGCAGUCGCUCAGGGUUCAGGGGUGCAGGAUGCAGGUUCAGGGGUGCAGUGAUUCAGGGGUGCAGGGCACAGGGAUGCAGGUGUGGGAUACGGGGUGCAGGGGUGCAGGAUACAGGUGCAGUGAUGCAGGGCGUAGGAUCUAGGUGCAGGGUCACAGUGAUGCAGGGUGCAGGGGUGCAGGGUGUAGGAUAUAAACGCGGGGUCGCAGGGGUGCAGGGUGCAGGGACGCAGGGGUGCAGCAAUACGCAGUUCGCAGCUCACAGGUGCAUGGUGCAGGUGCUCCCCAGCAGGCUGCUGCUCAGCAGAGGGCACCAAUGGCUCGCGAAUCGACGCGGACGCAUUUCGGCUGCAGGUUUGUCUGCAGCGCUGUGCGGGCUGCAGGCUGCGGGGACAGGCACCGCUGCAGGCCCCGAGCUCAGCAGGACGGGGCGGCCGGGCAGGGUGCUGUGCUGCCCUCGGCACCCACCUGCAGCACCGCCGGCUGGGGAGGCCACGCACCAUGGCUGUGGGGUGCCUCUGCCCGGCACCGGGGCAUGCACGGUGCCCUCCGGCCUGGGACACCCCAAAAACCCCUCUGCUGUGUGUGUGUUGUCACAAAGCACGGCGACAGCCGGGUGGGAGAGCACCCUGGUGCUGCAGAGCCGUCUUCGGGGCGGUUUCCAACCCGCCUUCAAGGACGGAUGUUUGGGAAGGUCAUUAGGACGCGUCUGGAAAAGCAGCACCUUGCCGGGGCACGGGUUCACACUGGGGUCCCAGCGGGGCUGUGCUCCCCCGGGGUGCAGGUCACCGCCCGGCUGGGGGGGCCCCGGGCUCCCCGUGCUCUUGCCAGCUGCAGGGGCCGUGGAAAUCGCCU